UCCUGGCUCAGAACGAACGCUGGCGGCGUGCUUAACACAUGCAAGUCGAACGUGAAAGAGGCUUCGGCCUCAAGUAAAGUGGCGCACGGGUGAGUAACACGUGAAUAAUCUGCCCGGGAAUCUGGGAUAACACUUCGAAAGGGGUGCUAAUACCGGAUAAGCCCACGCUUUCUUUGGAGAGUGCGGGAAAAGGUGGAGCUUUGGUUUACCGUUUCCGGAUGAGUUCGCGGCCCAUUAGCUAGUUGGUGAGGUAAAGGCCCACCAAGGCGACGAUGGGUAGCUGGUCUGAGAGGAUGAUCAGCCACACUGGAACUGAGACACGGUCCAGACUCCUACGGGAGGCAGCAGUGGGGAAUUUUGCGCAAUGGGCGAGAGCCUGACGCAGCAACGCCGCGUGAGUGAUGAAGGCCUUCGGGUCGUAAAGCUCUGUCAGAGGGGAAGAACAACUUGUUGUUGUAUAAGCAGCAGGCCUGACGGUACCCUCAAAGGAAGCACCGGCUAACUCCGUGCC
rnacentral:rRNA from 1 species